UUGAAUCGAAAAAAUGGCUUGUUGUUUUGAUAUAUAGAUUUAUUUUUGAAUUUACUUUGAAUAUUAUUAUUCCAACAAGAAUUGCCAUGCUGAUUUUAAUAAGAGAAUAUUAUUGUUUCAACUAUCAAGUCAAUUUGAGCUUUCCCGAAAAGCUGAAAGUGUAAUAAAGGAGAAUACAUUUAGAAAUAUCUUAUUAAUAUAAACAAACGAGUGUUAUCAGACCAGACUUGAUUAUUAACUAUAUCGAUAAAACAGAUAUCGUCAACUAAAGAGUAGAAUAUAAGUUAUUUUUAUCAUGUGAUUUCAUUGUUUAGAUGAAUGACAAUAACAUCUUCAAUGGAAAAAAUAAAUUAGAUUCUAAAAAUCAGGUAGGACAUUUUGUAACGUUUCACUUGAAAUUAGUAAACAAUGUUUUUGGAACUUGAAGUUUUUGAUAAAAGAUAGGAAUAAAUUAACUAUUUAACGAGUCGAUCAUAAAUACAUUGCAUGUGGAAUAUUUGAAGUUCCCGAUAUUUAAGAUGCCGAAUUUUCUAUGGAAUAAAUGGAUCAAAAACUGACAUCCGAGGGAAUUGGAACUGGAGUAAGAUGGGGUUUUAUGUUUGCUACCCGAGAUUCCAUCAGCACCCUCUGGAUCGCAAAUUAUUCUCAUCAAUGUGUCGGAUAGUUCGUAUCAGUCUCGUACGGUGCUGAAAUGAAAAGAAUAUUACCAUUACGACUUUCUCAAAUAAAAAUAGUCGAAUGGUA